rnacentral:lncRNA from 1 species
AAUAAUAUAAAUAAUAACAUAAAAUAUUAAUGCAAUUUAAAUAUAUUAAUAUAAUAUAAAACAUUAAUAUAAUAUACUAUUUAAUUUAAAUUAAUUUAAAAAAUAAUACAGUACAGUGUAGCACCAAACAUUGUACAACAUUAUUAUAAUACAGUGCUAAUACAAUACAACAUAAUACAAUACACCAGCAUUAAAAUAAUGCAAUACAGCAUAAUAUAAUACAGUAUGCCAAACGCACCCU